GACGAACGCUGGCGGCGUGCUUAACACAUGCAAGUCGAACGCUGAAGCUUGGUGCUUGCACUGGGUGGAUGAGUGGCGAACGGGUGAGUAAUAAGUGAGUAACCUGCCCUUGACUCUGGGAUAAGCCUGGGAAACUGGGUCUAAUACUGGAUACGACAUGUCACCGCAUGGUGGUGUGUGGAAAGGGUUUUACUGGUUUUGGAUGGGCUCACGGCCUAUCAGCUUGUUGGUGGGGUAAUGGCUCACCAAGGCGACGACGGGUAGCCGGCCUGAGAGGGUGACCGGCCACACUGGGACUGAGACACGGCCCAGACUCCUACGGGAGGCAGCAGUGGGGAAUAUUGCACAAUGGGCGGAAGCCUGAUGCAGCGACGCCGCGUGAGGGAGGACGGCCUUCGGGUUGUAAACCUCUUUCAGCACGGAAGAAGCGAAAGUGACGGUACGUGCAGAAGAAGCGCCGGCUAACUACGG
rnacentral:rRNA from 1 species